rnacentral:tRNA from 1 species
UGAGGUAGAGCUAUAUAUAAGCAACUCAUUUACGGUGAGAGGUUUCCAGGAUUUACGGAUGCCUUAA